UACAUUUUGGUGUAAGGGGCACAAAAAUUUUUGAUAUUUUGAGAGAUAGUUUAAUUCUAUUAAAUGUAA
rnacentral:tRNA from 1 species